GACGAACGCUGGCGGCGUGCUUAACACAUGCAAGUCGAACGGAAAGGCCCUGCUUUUGUGGGGUGCUCGAGUGGCGAACGGGUGAGUAACACGUGAGUAACCUGCCCUUGACUUUGGGAUAACUUCAGGAAACUGGGGCUAAUACCGGAUAGGAGCUCCUGCUGCAUGGUGGGCGUUGGAACGUUUCGGCGGUUGGGGAUGGACUCGCGGCUUAUCAGCUUGUUGGUGGGGUAGUGGCUUACCAAGGCUUUGACGGGUAGCCGGCCUGAGAGGGUGAACGGGCACAUUGGGACUGAGAUACGGCCCAGACUCCUACGGGAGGCAGCAGUGGGGAAUAUUGCACAAUGGGCGGAAGCCUGAUGCAGCAACGCCGCGUGCGGGAUGACGGCCUUCGGGUUGUAAACCGCUUUCGCCUGUGACGAAGCGUGAGUGACGGUAAUGGGUAAAGAAGCACCGGCUAACUACGUG
rnacentral:rRNA from 1 species